GGAUAUGCGGCAGGAGGGGCACACGGAUCCACUGGCAUCGUGCUCCAGGAGUCGUCGGAUGGACUGGAGAUCUGCAAAGGGAGAUUGGCAAACAGGUUAAUGCACUGGUUAAGCUGCACCUGCUCUCCUCCUUCUGAUUUUUUCCCCACAAACUGGCCAUUUAAACCAAUGCCAAUCAGCGGAAUUCUUUACUCGACUGCACUUGCAUCGUACUCGUAAUUGAUUUAAUCUACGCCGCCUGCCUGGUUUAUUAUUUCUAUUAGCACUUUGUCUUUCUGUGUCAAUAUUAUGUAAAAAUGCCGGCCACCAAACGUCAGCGUUUUAACUUGCUUCUGUUA